AGUGGGAUAGUCCAAAAGAAGACCUCUGAUUUCGGCUCAGAAAAUUAUGGUUAAAGUCCAUAGCCCAUUU
rnacentral:tRNA from 1 species